UGAAUUUGACAACGUAUUUUCAAAGUACAUCGGAAUAAAUUAGAAAAACACUUUAUGAAAAGGAAGUAAAAGAAGGAAAAUGAAAAAAAAACAGAGUUUGCCGAGUGCCCCCGAUAUGGCACUCGACAAAGCUGGCUUUGCUGACUGUCCGAUCUGAGACACUCGGCAAAGAUGCUUCAUAUUCGGUAAAAACGCUCCCUCACUCGCACACACGCACGCACCCAAACUCACAUGCACACACACCCCGCCGCCGGCCUCUCGCGCCCCAUCGCCGGCCUCCUGCGCCCACGCCCCGCCGCCGAACCUCUUUCUUUGUGAAGGGUGCUGUGAGCAAAUUAUUUUCUAUAUGGGUGACCUAAGAGAUGUCUUCCUUGACUCAGCUAAAGUGAAAGAAUUCUCGUCAGGUGCACCAAACAGGUCUUUGUAGAACUUGGUAAUGUAAGCUUUCAGAUUAACUUGGCCCUCAAUCAUGCCGUUCUCUUGUUCCAGGGAAAAUAUCCUUUUUUCCGAUGUCUGCCCUUGGCAACCAUUUGGAAAUAUCUAGUAUUGCUAUCCCCGAGCAGAGUAUCUGUCACCUUAGCACGUUGGUAAUAUUUGAUUUCC
rnacentral:lncRNA from 1 species